GGACGGACGCCAGCACCCAGCUUGGCUCGGACCCGCGGAAGCUCAGGCAGCGCGCCCCAAUCCACGAUAUUUAGGACUUUCAGAACUGAAUUCGGACAUGCUGAUGCAGACUUCCUUCAGCAGCUGUCAGGGCUGCUGGCACUGGGUACUGCCUGAGUUUCUCAGUCUGCAUCCUCAAGCCGGGGGACAACAGGACCACAUGAGAGAAGGAGGAUGGCGCUGAGGUGCCUUCCAUGGCACAUUGCCACACUGUGGGUUUGCGGAAAGAUCUGCUGGGAAAGCAAGAUAACUGAAGUGGUGUGGUGGGGGCAGAAGUGAAAGGUUUGGAGAGAGAAAGUGUUUGGAGAGAUAAAUGGAAGCAGCUCCUGUUGUGGUAUUGUUAUUAAAUAUGAUUUAUGAUAAAGCAAAAA